UAACGCGUGAAGUUGGCCGCCUGGGGAGUACGGUCGCAAGAUUAAAACUCAAAGGAAUUGACGGGGACCCGCACAAGCGGUGGAUGAUGUGGAUUAAUUCGAUGCAACGCGAAAAACCUUACCUACCCUUGACAUGCCAGGAAUCCCGCUGAGAGGUGGGAGUGCUCGAAAGAGAGCCUGGACACAGGUGCUGCAUGGCUGUCGUCAGCUCGUGUCGUGAGAUGUUGGGUUAAGUCCCGCAACGAGCGCAACCCUUGUCAUUAGUUGCCAUCAUUUAGUUGGGCACUCUAAUGAGACUGCCGGUGACAAACCGGAGGAAGGUGGGGAUGACGUCAAGUCCUCAUGGCCCUUAUGGGUAGGGCUUCACACGUCAUACAAUGGUCGGUACAGAGGGUUGCCAAGCCGCGAGGUGGAGCCAAUCCCAGAAAGCCGAUCGUAGUCCGGAUCGGAGUCUGCAACUCGACUCCGUGAAGUCGGAAUCGCUAGUAAUCGUGGAUCAGCAUGCCACGGUGAAUACGUUCCCGGGUCUUGUACACACCGCCCGUCACACCAUGGGAGUGGGUUUCACCAGAAGUAGGUAGCCUAACCGCAAGGAGGGCGCUUACCACGGUGGGAUUCAUGACUGGGGUGAAGUCGUAACAAGGUAACCGUAA
rnacentral:rRNA from 1 species